AUUGAACGCUGGCGGCAGGCUUAACACAUGCAAGUCGAGCGAGCGGCGGACUGGUGAGUAAUGUCUGGGAAACUGCCUGAUGGAUGGGGAUAACUACUGGAAACGGUAGCUAAUACCGCAUACCAUCAGAUGUGCCCAGAUGGGAUUAGCUAGUAGGUGGGGUAAUGGCUCACCUAGGCGACGAUCCCUAGCUGGUCUGAGAGGAUGCCCAGACAAACUGGAACUGAGACACGGUCCAGAGUCCUACGGAAGGCAGCAGCGGGGAAUAUUGCAAAAUGGGCGAAAGACUGAUGAAGCCAUGCCGCGUGUGUGAAGAAGGCCUUCGGGGUGUAAAGCACUUUCAGCGAGGAGGCGUUACGCGCAGAAGAAGCACAGGCUAACUCCGUGCCAGCAGCCGCGGUAAGAC
rnacentral:rRNA from 1 species